GAUGAACGCUGGCGGCGUGCCUAAUACAUGCAAGUCGAGCGAACAGACGAGGAGCUUGCUCCUCUGACGUUAGCGGCGGACGGGUGAGUAACACGUGGAUAACCUACCUAUAGGACUGGGAUAACUUCGGGAAACCUGAGCUAAUACCGGAUAAUAUAUUGAACCGCAUGGUUCAAUAGUGAAAAACGGUUUUGCUGUCACUUAUAGAUGUAUCCGCGCCGCAUUAGCUAGUUGGUAAGGUAACGGCUUACCAAGGCAACGAUGCGUAGCCGACCUGAGAGGGUGAUCGGCCACACUGGAACUGAGACACGGUCCAGACUCCUACGGGAGGCAGCAGUAGGGAAUCUUCCGCAAAGGGCGAAAGCCUGACGGAGCAACGCCGCGUGAGUGAUGAAGGUCUUCGGAUCGUAAAACUCUGUUAUUAGGGAAGAACAAAUGUGUAAGUAACUAUGCACGUCUUGACGGUACCUAAUCAGAAAGCCACGGCUAACUACGUG
rnacentral:rRNA from 1 species